rnacentral:rRNA from 1 species
UACGUAGGGUGCGAGCGUUGUCCGGAAUUAUUGGGCGUAAAGGGCUCGUAGGCGGUUUGUCGCGUCGGGAGUGAAAUCCACUGGCUUAACUGGUGGCUUGCUUUCGAUACGGGCAGACUGGAGGUAUGCAGGGGAGAACGGAAUUCCUGGUGUAGCGGUGAAAUGCGCAGAUAUCAGGAGGAACACCGAUGGCGAAGGCAGAUCUCUGGGCCAUUACUGACGCUGAGGAGCGAAAGCGUGGGGAGCGAACAGGA